UUUAUGCAAAACUGUGAUAUUUUAAGAUAUUUUCACUUGUUAACAGCAAACUAACAUUGUCUAAUUUUUCAUGUCGGGAGUUGGAGCUUUUUUUUCCUGACUGACGGCCGGAAUGCCGCCAAAAGGCUGAUAACAUCGACUGCUGAGUAAAUUAAGGUCACCUAUAUUACACGAAAUAAACCUUAGUUAAACCGAGAAACACGUUUGUACGUUCUGCUGCACUUUAAUGCAAGUUAGCUCCUCUGGCCAGCCUUUAUUUAACCUUAACAGCGAAUUAACGUGAAAUACUGAGGUAAAGUGCUUUAGGCAAACCACUGUUUCAGUGGAGAUUUUAAACAGUAUUUUCUAGUACUUCUUUUGUUUGUUAUUUUCAGAUUUCUAGUCUGGAUGUAGUCUGCAACGUCGGAGGUGUAUUUUGGAUCCUCUUCUUGUGAAUGCCAUAGUAUCGAUGAUAACAUCAACCGUUUGUGGUCAUGUCGUCUGCAUCUGAGGUGUAUUGGAGUCUUGUGAUUGCCUCGUAGCGGUGCUAACAGCAGGUUCAUUCAGACAGUCAACAUUUGUGGCACCAAAUGCAUUGAAAGUCACAGAUCAGGUGGAAUUUUGGAAAGAGGGUGCAGCCUGAAUCCCAUCCUGCUGUUUUUCAUCGGAGAGCUUGUCA